UGGGGAAUUUUGGACAAUGGGCGAAAGCCUGAUCCAGCAAUGCCGCGUGUGUGAAGAAGGCCUUCGGGUUGUAAAGCACUUUUGUCCGGAAAGAAAUCCUUGGCUCUAAUACAGUCGGGGGAUGACGGUACCGGAAGAAUAAGCACCGGCUAACUACGUGCCAGCAGCCGCGGUAAUACGUAGGGUGCAAGCGUUAAUCGGAAUUACUGGGCGUAAAGCGUGCGCAGGCGGUUUGCUAAGACCGAUGUGAAAUCCCCGGGCUCAACCUGGGAACUGCAUUGGUGACUGGCAGGCUAGAGUAUGGCAGAGGGGGGUAGAACUCCACGUGUAGCAGUGAAAUGCGUAGAGAUGUGGAGGAAUACCGAUGGCGAAGGCAGCCCCCUGGGCCAAUACUGACGCUCAUGCACGAAAGCGUGGGGAGCAAACAGGAUUAGAUACCCUGGUAGUCCACGCCCUAAACGAUGUCAACUAGUUGUUGGGGAUUCAUUUCCUUAGUAACGUAGCUAACGCGUGAAGUUGACCGCCUGGGGGAGUACGGUCGCAAGAUU
rnacentral:rRNA from 1 species